AUGGAGGCAAAGCUCAUAUGUAUCAGAGAAGAGGCAUUCACCUUGGUGAUAUAUGAGGAAAUAUGCUCCUGCUCGCUGCGGUAUUCGCCCGGCGAUGGUUUCAGCAGAGCAGGAACCCCCCUCAUCUCCUCCUCUUCCUGCCUGGAAGCUCCUCCCGUUCUGGCUUCCCACAGGCAGAAGAUGGACUGUCAAUUGGUCUUGCAAAUUGUCAAGGAUGAGGGUGUCCUAAAUUUACCUGAAAUAAGAGCACUUGCUGCAGCAGCACACAGACGGUCUUCACUGAUGGGUUUUCACUUUCAGACACUUCACAAUACCAGAUGCCACACCACCUGA
rnacentral:rRNA from 1 species